GUCGAUAACCUAUAUGAGACCUACUAGAGUUCCCGUAAUCAGGGUACAAUACGGUUGUGUUUUAAUUAAACCUCCUGCUACGGUUUGGUCAAUCUCUAGGAGUUGCUGCUAACUUAGGAUUCUACUUUCUUCACCAUUCUUUCCUCUAUGAUUUCGAGGAACUCCGUCCAUAUUAAAUAGGACAACGACUAUCACUAACCCAUUCAGGAUAGGUAACACAAGGAUUUUUCCCUCCAUAAUGACAGCAAGGAUUACUAUUUCUACUUAACUAGGGCGUUUCUUAAUAAUGUCCAAUAUCCUACCAUUAACUAAAGGCAUUUAAUUUAUUUCGAUGAUUCUUUCUAGUAAUGGGAAAUGGAAAAUAACUAGUUUACGAUCUUUCUGAUAGGUUUGUGUGUGUAAAGACGAAAGAUCUACCAAUAAGACCAAAGAGAGUCUAUGGACACAGUCGCUUCCUAGUUAGUUUUUUAUGAAAAUGAACGGGAAAGCCAUGAAAACGAAUAUCUGCAUACGGAAAACCAAAUACAUUACGUGGACGAUGGAAAGUUUUCUACGUACUACCGAUAUAAGAGACUGAAAACACUUUUCUAAACACUCCAUAAGUACCUAUUAAAGAGGCAAAUACCUAGGAGAAAACUACUAACGAACUCGUUGGAACUAGCCCAAAACGUCUCUACACUUCUGUGAUCAUAGCAGAACUUAACCCUUUUCACGGUGAAAUACCAAUUACUUCCGUAACAAAACCCCGUAUUCUAAAGACUCUCUCCAUAACUUCAACUAUUUCGAUUUCAACUACGAUAACUUUUCUACGGUACAGGGUUCCUGUAUUUUCCAUAUUCUUCAAAGGAACCAGUACGGUCAAAAAUAUCCUCCAAGUAAUUCCUGAAGAGGUUUUAGAGAUCCGGAGACUGAUUAAAUAACGUUUUUCUAUAAGGAAAACAGAAAUUACUACUAACACAUCUUCUUAAACUUUAUGAAUUCUUUCGAAACUAGUGAAGUGGAUAACAAGUCGGUGGACUAACCUUAAAUGGGAAAUUUUAAUACACACUACGAUCACUAAUACAACAUCCACAACAAGAUCCCGUUUCACAACUAUUCUUUAACUUACAAUAGGUCAUACGAUCAUUUUGAGAACUAUGACGGGUCUCUUUAAUAUGAUGAUGACUAUUUCUUAAGAAUCUUCAACACAAACGUACACUAUUCAAAUCUGGAAUGUAACAACUAAGGUUUCAAUGAUAAGUGUGACUAGUACGACGAUAAUUUAUAGAAUACCUUUUAUUUCUUCGAUUUGGGUUCGAGUAAUCUACCCAAGAGAACGAACUUCUUAAACUAAACGUAUAAUAACUAUCUUUCCCUCGACUCUUGGGGUAACGUCUGUUGAACAGAUCCAAUCUCUUACAAGAACUACUGGGUGACGGAUAACUACUAUCGAAAGGACUACUUGUUAAUCGCCAGUAAUUACGAAGAGCAUGACGAGGAACCAUACGACUAAUACGAUUAAUGUAACAACGAUUUAAAUAUGGUGGAUCAAAGUGUAUGGUCGUUUUCUCUUUCAAGAAAAUACUAAAUUCUGUAAUGAAGACCCUACUGGGUGUGGAAAUAUUUCUUCCUCAUCUACCACAAUAAUCUGCAACACAUGGACUCGUACUUGUCCUUGUCUAGGAUGCGUUCACAGUGAGACUUAGUAUACCUCCUGUGGUGCGACCUCUAUCUUGACGUGUAUUCCAUAACGUUAGACCAAAAAUAACCGGAUGAGAGAAGUUUCUACGAGCAUUCAAACAGAAUAGAACACUACUUACAGUAUCUUAACCAUUAUAAUCAUCUGCAGUUCUUUACGGAUACUUAAUAAGAGAACAAUAACUUGGUAAACUACAAACCCCGAAACUAAUAUACCCUGGAAAAGGAUGGAGAUUACUAAUGUGUGUAUAAAAUCAACAACAACUAAUGCAAUGAUUCACCCAUCUUCGAUAAGGUUGUUCAUCACGACUAGUAUUGUGAAGAUAAUUUUACGAAUUUCUUCAAUAAAAAGACUCCAAACCUCAGGGAUCUAUAGAAUACUGACUACCACCACGUGUAAAAUAAGUACCACGAAAGACAUUCUACGAACGAUUCAUACUACAAUUAGUAUCUUAGCGUAGAGGAAUAGUGGGUGUCGGAUCACCAGUUCAUCUCAACUCGUUAUCUCUCGAGGUUAAUUAAAACGUUUUCUGACAAUUAUCUAGAUCUUUCUUAACAAGGUUCUUUGAACUACUACGUAAUACCCGGAUAUCUUGACGUAUAUUUUUAGGAUACCCAUACAGAGACAUAUUCUACCAAAUACCUUUUCGUACAGUGAAUGGAGAACUUGAACUUGUAUUUCGUAUAACCCGAUAAUUUCUCGAGUUGAUACUGAAGUUUGAACGGCCACUCUUCUCCAAUAAACUAUAAUCGAGUGAACUACUUACCUCUUGGGUUCGGAUACUCUUACGGUUCGAUAAGUUUCUUUUUCAGUUUGCUACCGUACUGUUUUCCUAUGUUUUCGUUCUUAAAUUGCAUCCACUAAUACACAAUAAUAAGUUGAGAGUAAAUUCUAAAAAACGUCCUUUUGAAGAAAGAUUUACCCUUCCAGGAAUGCAAUAGCUCCUCCAGAUAGCAAGGCUACGGUAUUUUUAGUUGUUGAAACUUCCGUGUUCAGGCUCCCACCACUUGCCAGUUUCUUAAUUUGUAAUAUAAAAUCCAUUGGGAUAGUUACAAUUUUGAUUAUAAUAACUCUGGCAUUGGGGCCUCCUUAUGUAUUCCCUGUGAAAGGUCUUGCAAGGUCUGAAGCUUUUUCUUAUCUAGAUCUCGUAGUACUGCAGAGGUUCGCGAGGGUUCCUGUUCAAAAAGCUUUCCAAAUAGUUGGGGAUAGAGCGCCUCCACGACGUUGUGGGAGUUUGGUAACUCUACGCACUCCCCCACGACGUAUAGGCGCUACACCUCCCUGGUUCCGCAUGACCUUCGCACCUAUGUUUCGAGCUUCGGCACCUCGUUGUUCAAAAGUUCACGGUUCCCUACCACCUCUCACCUCAAGUGGUUGUUGGUGUUCGAUCUACGGUUCCAGUAACCCCUCUGGUAGAAGUUCGAAGUUCUCUUUUAGCUCGUGGAGGUUCGGGUCUAGAUACUGGACGUUUUGGUUUUGACACUCAUACUUAUAUCUAAGUUCUCCUACUCAAACCAACGUAUAAACUCCUAGGGCCUCUGAGCUAGUAGGAAGAUACUACCACUCGGAUACGGAACCUUCUACCUGCUGUUCGGAUGUAGUAGUUGUUGAGGAUGAAGUGGGGGAAGCUCCUGUAUUAAUGUACCCAUACCCGUGAGGGGAACCGUUGACGGUUCGAACCCCCUCCACGGGGCCAUAGCAUAGUGGUAGUGUGAGGAUAGAAAUGGCAAAAUAAAUCAAGCUAGGAAAAUCAUCAUAGAACUAGAUCAUCUAACUUCAAAAUCAUAGUUCAUCAAAACUCAAAACGAAACACUAGAGAAAUACAUUAGCUCAGGCACUCGAUAGAUAUUAUUUCUAAUCACAAGUUAGUUCCCGAAACGAUAGAACGAUACUAGAACUCCUUCAUCUUUCUUAUUUUCUCAAGUAUAACUAGAAUACCUAUCAUUACUGAAGUGUGUAUCUUUCAUACUCCGUAUUUUCAACAACUCUUAACUGUUUGCAUCAAAACCAGUAGCAACGUUAAUUAUCCUUCAUUAUUCCUUCCUCUCCAAAAGUGUAUGUUUAUAUGAUAGAACCUGUAGAAAAUACUAACACUCGUGAGUAAUUCAUACUGUACGAUUUUCUCCGCUACAACCUGUUCCUUCUGUUGUAUUACCAAAUACAAAAGAGUGUAUAGUCAAUUUCACAUAACAGUAACUAGAAGGCUUGUACAACUCGAACGGAAAGGGGGAGUACGAUCGGUUUAAGGAACGUGGUUCAUCUCUAUGAUGAACACGAAGGUUUAUAGGAAUUUGGAUCAAAAACGGUACUCUCAGGUGGUAUGGAUGGAUACCUAACUCAUUCUAGGAAGUUCAUUCAACAGUACAACGUCCGUUAUUUUUAACGAGAGAUUUAUACAUACUGAAUAAUCACGUCUCUUUUAUUCGAAAUAUGCUAGACAAUACCUUAGUUAUUUUCACUACCUGACCUAUUAUUUCCAGGUAUAUGUUCACCGUUAUAUUUCACUGCAAGAAAACGUAAUUCUAAAAUAUGUAGGUUGGGAUUUUCGUGUACUGUUGGAGACGAAGUGAGACGCUUCCCGGAUAGAAAAUGAAAUACAAAAAUGAAAUACGAACUCAGUUCCACUAGAAGUGGAAAAGGAAAAAAGAUAAAAUAGGAAACCGUUCGAGGAGCACAAACUUUCUAGAACUAUAUAUAUAGGUUAACCUACAUUCAAUCGUACUUAAUAAUAACAACUGUAGUGGGUUUCCACUUAUGCAACCCUCCGUUGUGUUAUUCGGGGAUAGAAAGAGUCACAGACCGACUUUGAGGUAUUGGUGUUCAUAACGCACUCACAAUAGUUAACAUCUUCUGAUAUACUAUCAACUCAUACACCUGAACGACUUUUCGAGAUAAGAACUGAGAAAGACUACAAUACGAUUUAACGUUAGCGAAGUUACUGAUUCUAAUAUCAAACAAUCAAGGGUUACUUCAAAGACUUGGUAUGAACUGUAACACUUAACUAGCAAUGAACUAGUAUUCGUUCGUAUACUGUUUUAGAUAAAUACAACGACAAUAUUCUUAUUAGUACUACGGGAGUACAGGCAUAAAAUAAAAAUAGCUGUGGAGAUAGAGAUGUGUACACCUGUACAAAAAGCUAAAACCAAAGGCGAACUCCUGUUCGCUCCAGAUUCGAACCCCCUCAACUAUGCAGGUAAAACGUAGUACGAAAAUAUAGUUAUAAAUAACGUAUUACCCGACAAUAAUGUGUAAUAUAGAAUUAUGAAUACCGAUAAGAGAGAAUAAAAUGUUCCAAAUGGUACUUCUCCCCCUUACGACCGUCGACCUUAAGACCGACCUUUUCCUCGUUUAUAACCUUUGUAUAAGACGUGACGAGGUUUUUAGGACUUUGAGGUACCUUCAAUAAAAACCUUAAUUAUUCUUAAUAACUCGCUUCUUUGAUGGUCUCCCCCGGGUGUGGGUCCGGUCCUCCCACCCCCGCGCGGGUGGGGAUGACCCGUGCGGGGGACAGAGGACCCGGGGGACCACCGGGAGGCCACGGGUAGAAGACGAUAUACUUCCGAAAAUGGGACCUUUUUUAGUCUUCGUUCGAAUGUCCUACUUUGAGGUGGCGGUGCUCCACUUUGGAACCGUCUUGGUUAGAUCUCGAGGCCGUCUCGACAAGACGGCCCCUUUGAAGGGAGGCCCUCCCCCUUUAGUAGUGGUAGCAGUAGUGGUUGCUAGGAGAGUAGCCCUCCCCCAGUUAGAGGUAGUUGUAGAAGUGGU
rnacentral:rRNA from 1 species